AUAACAGACUAAGGAUACAUACUGUUGCCAUGCAUAGCAGAGCGUUGCCAUGGACGCAGCUGUGAUCACUCU